UACGAAGGGGGCUAGCGUUGCUCGGAAUCACUGGGCGUAAAGCGCGCGUAGGCGGGUCUUUAAGUCAGGGGCGAAAUCCUGGAGCUCAACUCCAGAACUGCCUUUGAUACUGAAGAUCUUGAGUUCGGGAGAGGUGAGUGGAACUGCGAGUGUAGAGGUGAAAUUCGUAGAUAUUCGCAAGAACACCAGUGGCGAAGGCGGCUCACUGGCCCGAUACUGACGCUGAGGCGCGAAAGCGUGGGGAGCAAACAGG
rnacentral:rRNA from 1 species